AGGAUAAUAGGGUGAAGCAUGUGGAGGUGGUGGAUAUGGUGGAGGAUAAGGUGAAGGUGAUCUGUAUUGUGAAGGGGGAUAGGCAGUUGGUGGAGAAGGGUAUGCAGAUGGUGGAUAAGCUGAAUUAGAUGGGUAUGAGAGAUAAGGAGAUGGAGUUGUGUUAGUUGCAGCUGGUGCCGCGUAAGCAGCCACGGAUGCUGGAGGUGGUGCUGAGUACAGUGAGGCAUAGGGAACAGGUGCUGCAUAUUGUGGAGCAGGAGUAAAGCAUGUUUCUGGUUUCUUAGCAUUUGUGUGAUGCAAUAUGAGCCUUACUUCUCCAGCACAUCUGCAGUAGAUAGAAACAAAUUUUGAAAGACAUACGUCAUAAGAUUAUUUGCCACAAACAGUCAAGUAAACAAUCAUGUAAAACAAGAACUUGCUAACAAUUCGCAUUCAAAUUAGACAUUUACAAUGUAAAGGGGGCAAGUUGUGAUUGCUCGUACGUGCCAGUUUUAGCCUCAAGUGGCCAUGUGCUAUCAUCAUAGCCCUCUGAUAGAACCUUUUGCAAACAGAAUAGAAAAAAAUAAGCUUAACUAAAACAAGGAGGCAAAUAGGCAUCCAAAUAAACAGUGAUAAAAGAUACAAUCACACAAAAGGAAGCAGAGAUUAAUUAAUUACUUUCCACUGCCAAUGAAAUAAUAACAUGUUAAGGUAUGUCUGUUCCAAACCCUAAGGCUUAGCUCACUUAGCCCUUCAAUUAGAGUAAAUACAAACUUCUGUUGGAAUGUUGGAUUUUUGCCACCAUCUAAAAAUUAAAAAAAAAGGGUUCUGUCUGUAUCAACUUUCAUGCCACCAAAACUUGAAAACAAACUUUCAGAAAAGAAAAUAAGAGGGGCUUCAUGCAGACCUAAAAGCUAAAGCUUUUAACAUACCUGUGCAGGUUCUAGUGCGGGACUUACUGCUACCAUAUUCAACAAUAACAAAAGGAUCUUGCCAAGAAAUCCAUUCUGUAUUUUUCAAUUUACUACACCCAAUAACGGUAACUUCAAGGUGGCCUUGAAUACCAGAAACGAACAUGGUAGAAGAUUGGUAAGGACCAGGGAGAAGAUGAAGAUUGCUGGUUAGAAAAGGAAUUAUAGACUCUAUAAUCUAAGUAUACACAACACAGAAGGGCUACCAUUUUUAUACGAUUUUUUCUUGAAAGGAAAAAAAAAAUCCAACACUGAUAAUUGAAUUACGCGCUUGUUGACUAGCUUUUGAGGUCCGAGACACUGAUACCUGUUGGAUUUCUGGGUUUGUUCCUUAGUGAGGGAAUCUCUUUUAUUUAAUUUCUUUUUUUUUCUCUUGUGAAAAUUUGGGAUAAGGUGGAAGGUGAUGGUGAGGCCUGGAGGCUGAUAGUUCUCAAGUCUUUGACGUCCAUUAGGGGGGAAAAUUAUUGAGCGGACCAAUUCUUU
rnacentral:misc_RNA from 1 species